CCUACGGGAGGCAGCAGUGGGGAAUAUUGGACAAUGGGCGCAAGCCUGAUCCAGCCAUGCCGCGUGUGUGAAGAAGGCCUUCGGGUUGUAAAGCACUUUUAUCCGGAAAGAAAAGCUUUGGGUUAAUACCCUGAAGUCAUGACGGUACCGGAAGAAUAAGCACCGGCUAACUUCGUGCCAGCAGCCGCGGUAAUACGAAGGGUGCAAGCGUUACUCGGAAUUACUGGGCGUAAAGCGUGCGUAGGUGGUUUGUUAAGUCUGAUGUGAAAGCCCUAGGCUCAACCUGGGAAUUGCAUUGGAUACUGGCAGGCUAGAGUGCGGUAGAGGAUAGUGGAAUUCCCGGUGUAGCAGUGAAAUGCGUAGAGAUCGGGAGGAACAUCUGUGGCGAAGGCGACUAUCUGGGCCAGCACUGACACUGAGGCACGAAAGCGUGGGGAGCAAACAGGAUUAGAUACCCUGGUAGUCCACGCCCUAAACCGAUGCGAACUGGAUGUUGGGUGCAACUAGGCACUCAGUAUCGAAGCUAACGCGUUAAGUUCGCCGCCUGGGGGAGGUACGGUCGCGAGACGUAGAACGUUAAAGGUAAGUUAGUACGGACGUGAGACGNGCCGACGGACGACGACGAGGGAGGAGG
rnacentral:rRNA from 1 species